rnacentral:rRNA from 1 species
GAUGAACGCUGGCGGCGUGCCUAAUACAUGCAAGUCGAGCGAACAGAUGAGGAGCUUGCUCCUCUGACGUUAGCGGCGGACGGGUGAGUAACACGUGGAUACCUACCUAUAAGACUGGGAUAACUUCGGGAAACCGGAGCUAAUACCGGAUAAUAUAUUGAACCGCAUGGUUCAAUAGUGAAAGACGGUUUUGCUGUCACUUAUAGAUGGAUCCCCGCCGCAUUAGCUAGUUGGUAAGGUAACGGCGUACCAAGGCAACGAUGCGUAGCCGAACUGAGAGGGGGGUUCGGCCCCCUGGAACCUGAGACCGGGCCCAGAACCCUAGGGGGGGCCGAGGAGGGGAAUCUCCCCAACGGGGGGAAACCUUGCACAAGCAACGCCGGGGGGAUGCAGAAGGCCUGCGGGUGGUAAAACCUUUUUAUUGGGGAAAAACAAAUUUGAAAGUAACUAUGCCCGUUUGACGGUAACUUAUAAAGAAGCCCCGGCUAACUACGGG